GCAACCUACGGGAGGCAGCAGUGAGGAAUAUUGGUCAAUGGUCGGGAGACUGAACCAGCCAAGCCGCGUGAGGGAUGAAGGUACAGAGUAUCGUAAACCUCUUUUGUCAGGGAACAAAGGCGGGGACGUGUCCCCGGAUGAGUGUACCUGAAGAAAAAGCAUCGGCUAACUCCGUGCCAGCAGCCGCGGUAAUACGGAGGAUGCGAGCGGUAUUCGGAUUUAUUGGGGUUAAA
rnacentral:rRNA from 1 species